rnacentral:rRNA from 1 species
GAUGAACGCUGGCGGCGUGCCUAAUACAUGCAAGUCGAGCGAACAGACGAGGAGCUUGCUCCUCUGACGUUAGCGGCGGACGGGUGAGUAACACGUGGAUAACCUACCUAUAAGACUGGGAUAACUUCGGGAAACCGGAGCUAAUACCGGAUAAUAUAUUGAACCGCAUGGUUCAAUAGUGAAAGCCGGUUUUGCUGUCACUUAUAGAUGGAUCCGCGCUGCAUUCGCUAGUUGGUAAGGUAACGACUUACCAAGGCAACGAUGCGUAGCCGACCUGCGAGGGUGAUCGGCCACACAGGCACAGGGAGAAGGUGAGCAGUCCUAAGGGAGGCAGGAGUAGGGAAUCGUCCGCAAUGAGCGAAAGCCUGACGGAUCAGCGCCGCGGGGUUGAUGAAGGUCCUCUGAUCGUAAAACUCUGUUAUUAGGGAAGAACAAAUGUGUAAGUAACUAUGCACAUAUUGACGGUACCUAAUCAGAAAGGUACGGCUAACUACGUG